rnacentral:rRNA from 1 species
UAGCCGUAAACGAUACUCGCUAGGUGUCGGCCACGGUGCGACCGUUGUCGGUGCCGUAGGGAAGCCGUGAAGCGAGCCACCUGGGAAGUACGGCCGCAAGGCUGAAACUUAAAGGAAUUGGCGGGGGAGCACCACAACGGGUGGAGCUUGCGGUUUAAUUGGAUUCAACGCCGGAAAUCUUACCGGGACCGACAGCAACAUGAAGGCCAGGCUGAAGACCUUGCCGGAUUAGCUGAGAGGUGGUGCAUGGCGUAGUCGUGU